GCACUCAGAUGUUAAACGUGAAGGAUAACGUUGCGUCAGCAACGGCCCGAAGGGCGAGGCAAAGCCGAGUCAUCCUGCACGACCCAUCA
rnacentral:sRNA from 1 species